rnacentral:rRNA from 1 species
ACUCCUACGGGAGGCAGCAGUAAGGAAUAUUGGUCAAUGGGGGCAACCCUGAACCAGCCAUGCCGCGUGCAGGACGACUGCCCUAUGGGUUGUAAACUGCUUUUGUUAGGGAAUAAACCCCGCUACGUGUAGCGGGCUGAAUGUACCUAAAGAAUAAGGAUCGGCUAACUCCGUGCCAGCAGCCGCGGUAAU